GCGAGGGGACGCGAUUGGUGGCUCUGCCGUGGGGCAGAAAGUGGCUGAGGGUUUCUGGGGAAAAGACGCACGGGAGGUGGAACUCAAGGGGCGGGAAGUCGGAGGACGCCAGGCGAGCGUGUUGCAGCGUGGCGUGGGAGCAGCAGAGAAAGGGGUUGGGGAAGGUGGAGAAACUGAGAACUGAACAUUGGCAUUUGAUUCACUUUAGUGUUUGCAAUCCAAAUCAGACCUAGAAAAGGAUUCCUUAAGGAGCCUUUGCGACUGCCGUGGUGGAGGUAACCGGUACCGCUGCAGAAAAUUGUCUCACUGCCAGCCUACCUGAAGGCUACAGCAAAGGGAAACCACGUGUAACCCCAGGUGCAGCUAUCCUGUAAAACACGCCCACACACACUUCAUCACCAGAUGGUAUUUAAAUGCCACCACGUACUUUCUCCUUUGUCUAAAUUUGCUUAUCAGGUUGGAUGCUAACUAGCCUCAUUUGUAAAAUAUUGGCCACUGUUCUUGUUUAAAAUCUCUGCUAGGAUACAAACUCCACUCUCUCCACCCCUCCAGUAUAGAAUGCCUAGAAACUUGCAAAAUUGCUCCUUAUUUAGUUGGGGGAAAUUAGGUAAAAUCUUGAAAUUAGAAGUUCUAUCGACAAACCAAAUGGAUAUUUCUUUAGUAACUAAUAAUCUGUAAAAGGCAU